rnacentral:rRNA from 1 species
UACGUAGGGGGCAAGCGUUGUUCGGAUUUACUGGGCGUAAAGGGCGCGUAGGCGGUCAGCACAAGUCAGUUGUGAAAUCUCCGGGCUUAACUCGGAAAGGUCAACUGAUACUGUGCGACUAGAGUGCAGAAGGGGCAACUGGAAUUCUCGGUGUAGUGGUGAAAUGCGUAGAUAUCGAGAGGAACACCUGCGGCGAAGGCGGGUUGCUGGGCUGACACUGACGCUGAUGCGCGAAAGCGUGGGGAGCAAACAGG